rnacentral:rRNA from 1 species
GACGAACGCUGGCGGCGUGCUUAACACAUGCAAGUCGAACGGAAAGGCCCUGCUUUUGUGGGGUGCUCGCGUGGCGAACGGGUGAGUAACACGUGAGUAACCUGCCCUUGACUUUGGGAUAACUUCAGGAAACUGGGGCUAAUACCGGAUAGGAGCUCCUGCUGCAUGGUGGGGGUUGGAAAGUUUCGGCGGUUGGGGAUGGACUCGCGGCUUAUCAGCUUGUUGGUGGGGUAGUGGCUUACCAAGGCUUUGACGGGUAGCCGGCCUGAGAGGGUGACCGGCCACAUUGGGACUGAGAGACGGCGCAGACGCCGACGGGAGGCAGCAGUGGGGAAUAUUGCACAAUGGGCGGAAGCCUGAGGCAGCAACGCCGCGUGCGGGAUGACGGCCUUCGGGUUGUAAACCGCUUUCGCCUGUGACGAAGCGUGAGUGACGGUAAUGGGUAAAGAAGCACCGGCUAACUACGUG